rnacentral:rRNA from 1 species
UACGGGGGGGCCUAGCGUUGUUUGGAAUUACUGGGCGUAAAGCGCACGUAGGCGGAUUUGUAAGUCAGGGGUGAAAUCCCGGGGCUCAACCUCGGAACUGCCUUUGAUACUGCAAAUCUCGAGUCCGGAAGAGGGGAGUGGAAUUCCUAGUGUAGAGGUGAAAUUCGUAGAUAUUAGGAAGAACACCAGUGGCGAAGGCGGCUCACUGGUCCGGUACUGACGCUGAGGUGCGAAAGCGUGGGGAGCAAACAGG